CUUGAAGAGCGUUUUUGUGGCCGUCAUGAAGUCGCUCUUGUGGUUGUGUCCAGAAAAUCCACUGAUGUGUCGCUGGUGGUGGAUUUCAGCUUGAUGGACGGGUUGUGACUAUUCAAGGAUGCCAGGGCAGAGGUCUC